rnacentral:lncRNA from 1 species
AUGGAAGAAAAAUCGAAAGUGUUUUCUGACAUCCCAUAUGUAUGUUAUGUAUAUACGUGCAUGUGUCUCGUCAAGGUAAGAGAUAUCCAUCUAAUGAGAAAUAAGGGAGAAACGCUGUGACCGUGGGUCAUGGAUAUUUAAUAUUUCUGCGUGAGAGAGAAAAAAAGAAUCUCAUGUCACAGAUGUAAAAUUCUGUGUAUGAAGCCAAAAAAAUCUGGGAAAAGGCUUUACACUUGCGCAAAAGUGCUAAUAAUUGGUUAUAAUGCUAUUUAGUAACUAGUUGAUUUAACAACUAUUUCUGUAACAGGUGAUUAUAUCACCUUGUAAUAUCAGGGUUUUAACAUAACUCUCUUUCACAUAAUAAUGCAUGAUCAGAGAGUGCAGCUCAGCUGUCACCUGCCACAGCAUUUUAUCAAGUACAGCCUGGCUUGGCAACCCUGAGUUCUUGUGUAACAUGAUUCUUUCUUAAAAAAAAAAAAAAUUGGUCCGUUGUGUCUAUCCUUAAAAAAAAAAACAAAAAAAAAAGAAUGACCUACGUUAUAGGUGCAAACCUGAAAAAAUCAGAUUUGAGUUUCUAAAUGAAAUCUUUCUUAUGUUGAGAAAACAGAAUAAUAUACAAUCAUCUGGGAGAAUACAUAAAUAGUACUUUUUAUUGUCUGUGACC